CAAAACAUGUACAUGAAACAAUUAAUUUUUACCCCAUAUUCAUUUUAUGGAUCAUAUUUUUGUUUUCUUGUAUGAUUAUUUAGGUAAUGAAGUAGUAGAAUCUAAUGCCACGAAACAUAUAAUGUCUGAAUAAAUACUCUGUAAUUUAUUCUAUGAAAUGAUGGGACUCGAAGAUGCCAAAUGCUAGACUAAAUUAAAUAGAAAAAAAUCAUUUGAAAAUAAAUCAUGUGACUCUACUGUUAGUACACAAGUUAUUAGGGUUUUAUUGUAAAUUUUAGGAAGGGUAUGGCAAUACUGUAAUAUUUAAAUCCUUUCCACAUUAUAGUUUACACUUUUUGUCCAAUAUUCUCCUUGAUUUUUUAUUUUAUUUUUUUCAUUUUUUAUUGCUUUCAAAACUUGAAGUGAUCUAUACUUAUCGUUAGGCUACCUUUCCAAUAACACAUCAUCAAAUGUGCGUUUGAAUAAUUAUUUUAACAUGCUUGCGAUACGUUGCAAGCCAUAUUUUUAUUAUUUGUGAAUAAAACAUACUAUUUGUUAUUUUCUUAGUUUUUAUGGGGAAUAUGUAACGGUUAAUUUUUUAUUUUAAAAAAUAAUUAAAAUAGCAUCUACACAUACUGUAUUACACUCUAUAUGCCUUGCGUGUUUUGCCAUUUUGUACUAUUUUUUGGACGCAAACAUAAUUAUCAUUUGUUAGUGCUUGUGAAACAAUAAUUCGUAUAAUUUGUAAAAAAGUUGUCUACGCGCUAUAUAUAUUCUCUCUCUCUGUGUGUAUAUAAUUGAUAGUUCUAACUCUAAAUAUAUGAUUAUCAUGAUUGGUAUGAUAUGUAAAUGAAGUGAUCAAAUUUUUUUGUUGACGUUGAUUAAAAUAUUACUUUUGAGUAAGUUUCACUUAAGAACAAAGAAUUGCCUUUGUGGUCAUUAGAAUACAAUUUUUUUUGUAGAAUCUAAUGAAUUAUUGCAUUAAUUAAGACUAAUAAAUAGAGUAAAUAAAUUAUAGAACUUUUUUUUGAAAUUCUAUAUCAUUUGGUUUUACAAUUUACAUAUUUAGUGAAUUGACAUUAACUUAAAAUAUUAGUCUAUUGGGCAAAGAAGAUGGAAUAUUACAAAAAAAAUAUUAUUAUUAGUCAUGAGAUCUAGCUUAUAUAAGUCUAUACCAAAAUAUUAUAGUUAUAUUAUUUCUCUUCUCGAUCUUAUCUUGCAAUUUUAGGUCAAUAAAAUUUAGGCGUGAUUUUUAAAACUAUGAACGGGCUACGAAAGGGGUUUGGAUUCUCAACAUUAUUUUAUUGAUAUCGCAAUUAAUGCUCUUAUUUCAUACAGACAAAUGUUAGACAUACUCUACAAACUAUUCAUUGAUACUUUUUUAUAUUUUUUGUUAGCAAAAAUUGUGUACUAGUUUCAUGCUUAGGAAAUUGCAAUAUGUAAACUGUAAUUUUUUACGAGAGCUUGCUUUUAUUUGUUAAUACUUAAGAAAUAAUGGUAUGUAUAAAAUAUUUGUUAAGUAAUAUAUUUGUUAAAGUAGAUACGUAGUGUAAUUACAUUACGUAUCCACGUGGUGCAUUUUAUAAUUUUUUUCUAAGGGUAAUACAUUUGAUCAUUUUAAGAACCAUAUGGACAAAUGAGUUUGGUAGCUUUAUAUGUUUUCUGCUGGGAGCUCAUCAAUGUGCACCGCUCAUGUGUCGCACCUACAUUAUAAAAUUUUGUAAUUUCAAAAUGUUACAUAUUUUUCUUACACUUUGUUUCCUUUUAGAAAUUCU
rnacentral:lncRNA from 1 species